UACGGAGGGUGCAAGCGUUAUCCGGAUUCACUGGGUUUAAAGGGUGCGUAGGUGGGCAGUUAAGUCAGUGGUGAAAUCUCCGGGCUCAACCCGGAAACUGCCAUUGAUACUAUCUGUCUUGAAUAUCGUGGAGGUAAGCGGAAUAUGUCAUGUAGCGGUGAAAUGCUUUAGAUAUGACAUAGAACACCAAUUGCGAAGGCAGCUUACUACCCGAAUAUUGACACUGAGGCACGAAAGCGUGGGGAUCAAACAGG
rnacentral:rRNA from 1 species